rnacentral:misc_RNA from 1 species
UACAGAGGGUGCGAGCGUUAAUCGGAAUGACUGGGCGUAAAGGGCGUGUAGGCGGUUUUUUAAGUGUUUUGUGAAAGACUCGGGCUAAACCUGAGUAUAGCGAGGCAUACUGAAAAACUAGAGAACGAAAGAGGUUAGUGGAAUUUCCGGUGGAGCGGUGAAAUGCGUAGAUAUCGGAAGGAACAUCAGUGGCGAAGGCGGCUAACUGGUUCGUUUCUGACGCUGAGGCGCGAAAGCGUGGGGAGCAAACAGG